UGUGGAGCGGGCAUCCCUGUGUGGAGCGGGCACCCCUGUGCCUGGUGGGCGCACCUGUGCAGAGUGGGCUGUGAGUGAUGGGGGCUCCUCUCUGUGUCGCCACCCCCAGCCUCCCGCCAUCGUCUUCAGCACUGAAUACGCCUCCAUCUGACGGGUUGUGUGUUUCUAUGUCAGAAAAUUAAUGAGGGAUUUUACUCAGAGAUGUUCUGACCAUACAAACUUAAUUGCCCUCUCAGUGGAAUGAACCACACAUUUCUACAAAAAAAAAAAAAAUACCGUAAUGUAGUUUAAUAGCCUGGAGUAGCAGAAGAAUGCCAAGGAUUUACUUUGCAUCACCGAUAACCACAAUGUCCUUGCUUGCCAUCCUAAAAUUGCUAAAGAGAAUGUAGUUGUUGUCAGUGUAGCAUCGGGAAUUUCCAGGAAUGUCAGCCAGGAUGCACCCACCUAGGAGUGGCUUCCGCCUGGCCUGCAGCAGCUGCCGAAGGAGCCAUGUCCUUCAGAGUUUGUGGAAGGACUGGCUGUGUGUUUCAUCACAUGUGCUACAUGGUCUUCACAUCCUGCCCACAGUGUGCAGGAGAAGAGAAUUGGGUGGACAGCAGGACCAUCUACGUGGGACACAGGGAGCCACCUCCGGGCGCAGAGGCCUACAUCCCACAGAGAUACCCAGACAACAGGAUCGUCUCGUCCAAGUACACAUUUUGGAACUUUAUACCCAAGAAUUUAUUUGAACAAUUCAGAAGAGUAGCCAACUUUUAUUUCCUUAUCAUAUUUCUGGUGCAGUUGAUUAUUGAUACACCCACAAGUCCAGUGACAAGUGGACUUCCACUCUUCUUCGUCAUUACUGUCACGGCUAUCAAACAGGGUUAUGAAGACUGGCUUCGACAUAAAGCAGACAAUGCCAUGAACCAGUGUCCUGUUCAUUUCAUUCAGCACGGCAAGCUCGUUCGGAAACAAAGUCGAAAGCUGCGAGUUGGGGACAUUGUCAUGGUCAAGGAGGAUGAGACCUUUCCCUGUGACUUGAUCUUCCUUUCCAGCAACCGGGGAGACGGGACGUGCCACGUCACCACCGCCAGCUUGGACGGAGAAUCCAGCCAUAAAACGCAUUACGCAGUCCAGGACACCAAGGGCUUCCAUACGGAGGAGGAUAUCGGCGGACUUCACGCCACCAUCGAGUGUGAGCAGCCCCAGCCCGACCUCUACAAGUUUGUGGGCCGCAUCAACGUUUACAGUGACCUGAACGAUCCCGUGGUGAGGCCCUUAGGAUCGGAAAACCUGCUACUGAGAGGAGCUACACUGAAGAACACCGAGAAAAUCUUUGGUGUGGCUAUUUACACGGGCAUGGAAACCAAGAUGGCGUUAAAUUACCAAUCGAAAUCCCAGAAGCGGUCUGCCGUGGAAAAAUCGAUGAAUGCGUUCCUCAUCGUGUACCUCUGCAUUCUGAUCAGCAAAGCCCUGAUAAACACUGUGCUGAAAUACGUGUGGCAGAGUGAGCCCUUUCGGGAUGAGCCGUGGUAUAAUCAGAAAACGGAGUCGGAAAGACAGAGGAAUCUGUUCCUCAGGGCGUUCACGGACUUCCUGGCCUUCAUGGUCCUCUUUAACUACAUCAUCCCCGUGUCCAUGUACGUCACAGUCGAGAUGCAGAAGUUCCUCGGCUCUUACUUCAUCACCUGGGACGAGGACAUGUUUGACGAGGAGACUGGCGAGGGGCCUCUGGUGAACACGUCGGACCUCAACGAAGAGCUGGGACAGGUGGAGUACAUCUUCACGGACAAGACCGGCACCCUCACGGAGAACAACAUGGAGUUCAAGGAGUGCUGCAUCGAAGGCCACGUCUACGUGCCCCACGUCAUCUGCAACGGGCAGGUCCUCCCAGAGUCCUCAGGAAUCGACAUGAUUGACUCGUCCCCCAGCGUCAACGGGAGGGAGCGCGAGGAGCUGUUUUUCCGGGCCCUCUGUCUCUGCCACACUGUCCAGGUGAAAGAUGAUGACAGCGUGGACGGCCCCAGGAAGUCUCCAGACGGGGGGAAAUCCUGUGUGUACAUCUCAUCCUCGCCCGACGAGGUGGCGCUGGUCGAAGGUGUCCAGAGACUUGGCUUUACCUACCUGAGGCUGAAGGACAAUUACAUGGAGGUAUUAAACAGGGAGAACCACGUCGAAAGGUUUGAAUUGCUGGAAAUUUUAAGUUUUGACUCAGUUAGAAGGAGAAUGAGUGUAAUUGUAAAAUCCGCUACAGGAGAAAUCUAUCUGUUUUGCAAAGGAGCAGAUUCUUCGAUAUUCCCCCGAGUGAUAGAAGGCAAAGUUGACCAGAUCCGAGCCAGAGUGGAGCGGAACGCAGUGGAGGGGCUCCGAACUUUGUGUGUUGCUUACAAGAGGCUGAUCCAAGAAGAAUAUGAAGGCAUUUGUAAACUGCUGCAGGCUGCCAAAGUGGCCCUUCAAGAUCGAGAGAAAAAGUUAGCAGAAGCCUAUGAGCAAAUAGAGAAAGAUCUGAUUCUGCUUGGUGCCACGGCUGUUGAGGACCGGCUGCAGGAGAAAGCUGCAGACACCAUCGAGGCCCUGCAAAAGGCCGGGAUCAAGGUCUGGGUUCUCACGGGAGACAAGAUGGAGACGGCCGCAGCCACGUGCUAUGCCUGCAAGCUCUUCCGCAGGAACACACAGCUGCUGGAGCUGACCACCAAGAGGAUCGAGGAGCAGAGCCUGCACGACGUCCUGUUCGAGCUGAGCAAGACGGUCCUGCGCCACAGCGGGAGCCUGACCAGAGACAACCUCUCAGGACUCUCAGCAGAUAUGCAGGACUAUGGCUUGAUUAUCGACGGAGCUGCGCUGUCUCUCAUAAUGAAGCCUCGCGAAGACGGGAGUUCCAGCAACUACAGGGAGCUCUUCCUGGAAAUCUGCCGGAGCUGCAGCGCGGUGCUCUGCUGCCGCAUGGCACCCUUGCAGAAGGCCCAGAUUGUUAAAUUAAUCAAAUUUUCAAAAGAGCACCCAAUCACGUUAGCAGUUGGCGACGGCGCAAACGAUGUCAGCAUGAUUCUGGAAGCGCACGUGGGCAUAGGUGUCAUCGGCAAGGAAGGCCGCCAGGCUGCCAGGAACAGCGACUAUGCAAUCCCAAAGUUUAAGCAUUUGAAGAAGAUGCUGCUUGUUCACGGGCAUUUUUAUUACAUUAGGAUAUCUGAGCUCGUGCAGUACUUCUUUUAUAAGAAUGUCUGCUUCAUCUUCCCUCAGUUUUUAUACCAGUUCUUCUGUGGGUUUUCACAACAGACUUUGUACGACACCGCGUAUCUGACCCUCUACAACAUCAGCUUCACCUCCCUCCCCAUCCUCCUGUACAGCCUCAUGGAGCAGCAUAUUGGCAUCGACGUGCUUAAGAGAGACCCGACCCUGUACAGGGACGUCGCCAAGAACGCGCUGCUGCGCUGGCGUGUGUUCAUCUACUGGACGCUCCUGGGACUGUUUGACGCGCUGGUGUUCUUCUUUGGUGCUUACUUCAUGUUUGAAAAUACAACUGUGACGAGCAACGGGCAGAUAUUUGGAAACUGGACAUUUGGGACGCUGGUAUUCACUGUGAUGGUGUUCACAGUCACACUAAAGCUUGCGUUAGACACACACUACUGGACUUGGAUCAACCAUUUUGUCAUCUGGGGGUCGCUGCUGUUCUACGUCGUCUUUUCGCUCCUCUGGGGAGGAGUGAUCUGGCCAUUCCUCAACUACCAGAGGAUGUACUACGUGUUCAUCCAGAUGCUGUCCAGCGGGCCCGCCUGGCUGGCCAUCGUGCUGCUGGUGACCAUCAGCCUCCUGCCCGACGUCCUCAAGAAAGUCCUGUGCCGGCAGCUGUGGCCAACAGCAACGGAGAGAGUCCAGACUAAGAGCCAGUGCCUUUCUGUCGAGCAGUCAACCAUCUUUAUGCUUUCUCAGACUUCCAGCAGCCUGAGUUUCUGAUGGAACAAGGUGAUGCUCCUCUGCCUUCCGCACGCUUGGGAUGGUAGACGCGGGGCAGCAGGGCCAUGCCUGUCACCAGAGCCCCGAGUCCACGCGCUCCGACGCAGUGUCCGCCAGGCGCUGGGCACGGCAGCCCCACGUCAGGAAGCCCCACCACCUUCUUACACCUUCACAUGCACAGACCGAUCGUGAGCUGUGCUUUCCAUCAGUCACAGUUAACCAGGGUUUCUCCCUCAGCGUCCAGGCAGCCUCAGAACCCACCUGUGAGGGUUCAGACACAGCUGACAGCACAGAGCCGGCCACAUGAUCCCUCACACAGGUGUCAGAGAGGUUCCUGUGCAGGAAUCCUAAGCAGGAAGGUAUGAGAGUUUGCAAUUCACAGGUCAUCCAGGCCCUGAGCUCACAUACCCUGCCCUCCGCAGCCUGUAGAGUGUGGAUCCUCCCUCACGCACCCACUUCUGUGCCCAUUCUGCAGCUGGAAAGACUGAUGACAGCUAGGAUAACACGGUUUGCUCAGGACCCACGCACAUUUCAGAAAAGGGGAGCCAGGCUGAGCCACACAACUGGAGACAAAGGGGACAGAAGUGUUUGGUGUCAGAUGUUCGACCAAAUUCUCUUUUUACUGUUUUUUGAAUGAAGACCUCUUUGAAAGCUUUCUGUUAAUAAUAUGCUUUAAAAAUGACGGCCCUGGCCUUUCUGGGCAGCGUAGAGGCAUUCACAUGCCAUUUUCCUGUGGUGGCAUCCGUGGUCAGAGCCGAGAUUGCAGGGGCCUGCAUGCUGUCCUGAAGUCACGUUCUGUCUUCCAGCCGUGUGCUCCGGCACCAAAUCCCGCAUUCACGCAUGCCUCCAAAUUAAUGGUGCUCUGAAAAUGCAUGUUUGGUAUUUUACUGUUUUACCAAAUGCAGCCUAGAAAAAUGCCCAGAGCAGAAAGGGCUUUUUUUCCCUUUAAUGACAUCAUCUUCUAUAUUUUUUAAACACCAUUUUUAACUGACAAAAUGGUCCUUUUUUAAGUCCAAGCAAUUAAUAGGAAUCAAAAUUUUUCUAAUUUAGUGUCAUCAGAAUUUGUUAGAUUAAAUUGCAGAAUUUCAUCUCACCAUUUCUAUACUUGAAAACAUUAGGGAUGAAAUUAUUAGGAACACUUUAAUAACUCCUAGGAGGUCCUUAAGAAACUAAUUAAAUCAUGCCAACUCUAGGCUAAAAAUAUGCAUUCUAACCAUUGAUGUAGUUUGUUGAGAGCUGAUUUGCCUCUGAACAUGUGCAGAAGCUGAGCCCGGCUGCGUAGAGAUGGUGGCCCAGAGGUUCGUUUUCCUGCCGCCUGCGAGGCCUCGGGCCCUGGCGUGACCCCCGCAGGCAGGGCCGGUGUCCGCACCUGAACACAAAGCGCCUGCAGCCAGCACGUGCCCGGCACACACAGGAGCACACCGUGGUGCUGAGACCACCUGCGUUCUGCAAAACUUUGGAGGAGUAAACAUGUCACUAGUCCUCACGUGGGGCAUAUUUUACUUCCAGUGGAUGGUUUUCUUUUCAUCUGUUCCUAUGGAAAAGAAAAGCAUCACAGGCCUGACGUCUAUGUAUGUGCGAUUCGCACACAUACGUCUGUGCUGGCAUCUCUGCGUAUCUGCAUGCAGUUCGCCUCUCCCUCCCUGUCCCCGGGACGGGUGGCAGCCUCACCCUUUGUUUCCUGCUGCUCCUCACCUGGGCGUUUGCCCAUUCGGACCUGCAGUUCUGCAAUUCCAAGCCCGCAGUUCUUCAGCUCCCACGCUUCCCUUAUUCCUUGAAUAAGGCUGGGCUACGAGAUCUCAGUGCUCUGUGAGCACGUUGGCCUCAGGACACUCUGCAGGGCCCUGGCAGAGCAGCUCCCGAGGCUCGCUGUCUGCCAUGGAAGUGGGUGUGUGGCUGAACAUGUGGCUCCAGGAUUCCAGAGGUGCCCGGUGGACCUUCCAGCUGAGGGACCUGGGACCCUCUGCCUCCCACAGGUGCCGUGGCCCGCCCCUGAGCCUGUCACUGUCUCUCAGUUCUGGGCUUGGGCUCCUCAUGGGAGCGGCCCUGCUGGGACAGUGUUUUCCCAAGACGCCCCUGAGCCCUUGCCCUGGCCGCUCCGUGACACCCCAUGCAGACUCCAACAGAGGCUUAGUGCCUCUUCCUGCUGGGGUCCCACGGAUGGUGCAGGCGGAGGCCAGAGUGCUCCUGGUGCUCGUGGGCACCGGCUCAGCAGCCCCGCGUGGCCCACGUUGCUCAGUGUCUUUCCUCGCCUUGCAGAGGGGCGUGAAGCACAAGGCUCCAGUCCAGGCCACACAGAGCAGCGACGGGCCCCUCCUGAAGGACCUCCUACGGCGGCCAAGGCGCAGUUAGCUCCAUGCUAGAGCCCAGGCUACCAGAGCACCUGUCCCUCGGCCGCCUGGUACAGCUCCUGCUCUCAGCAGGUGACGCUCGCGGCCUGGAAGGGGAAGGUGUCCGUGGAGCCCCCACCCACCCUCAGCGGUUCCUGUCACCACUGCAGUUCCAGCCCGAGUCACAGCUGCCCUGGGACCCGCGUGCAGAUGCUUGUGUGAUGGAUGGUUCUAAGCCUGUGGAGACCGCACACGCCUCUUCCCGGCCCCCAGGAGGCAAGGAGGGGGGUCACAGGCCUUGCC